GGGUAUGAGCAGCCAGGAUAUUGAUAGGGGCAGUCAAGAAAAGAAUUCUACUGAAAUAAGUCUGAAGUCCUGGAAGAAAGAUUUCCACUUUUUCUACUGGAUAUAGCUGUGUCUACAUGGAAUACCUGGCAAAUGGACUCAUCCAGCAACCAUGAAAGAACAAGACAGAGCUGCCGAGCAAAAAGGAGAGAACCUGGGUGCAUGGAAUAUUGUCAAACCACUGUGUUAGUUAGUGGUACCCAGAAUUGCCUACCUUUGGUUUUCUUGUUAUAUAAGUUGUUUUCUCAAAUAUGUUUCAUUGGGCUUUCUGUUUCUUAAAAAAGAUUCUAAGUGACAUACUGUAAAAGAAAAGGCUGAGAAAAACUGACUUUAUUGAGGUCAUACUACAUAACAAAUAUUUUGCAUCCAUUAUUUGGCUUAAUUUUUAUAACCACCUUAUGAAGUUCAUAUUUGAUCUCCAUUUAAAGAGGAGUACAACCCAAAAAGCCUGAAUUUUCCCCCAUGAGGUCAGAAGUCUUGACCCAAAAUUUUCAUAUGCAUCAUCAAGCAUUGCAUCUAGUUUUGACUGAUACCUGUUUCCCAGACUUCAAACUUUUAUGAAUUUCAAAGUACUUCAGUAGAACAUGGGGGUAUGAGUAAAAAUUGCAAAAUAAGGCAGAUUGUUCAAACCUUAGCACAUUUAUUAGUUUGGUGAACUAAGAUUACUCAGAUCCUAAAUUCUGUAUUAGUAUUUGUAAAAGGCAAUAAUAGUACCUAUUCACAAAUUGUACAACAUUUAACAAAUACCAAUACAGCUUAGUCAUGUAACAAA
ensembl:lncRNA LINC01878 long intergenic non-protein coding RNA 1878